rnacentral:rRNA from 1 species
CCCUUCCCAUCCCGAACAGGACCGUGAAACAACUUUGCGCCGAUGAUAGUGCUGCAACCAGUGUGAAAGUAGGUUAUCGUCAGGC